UCCGGGUUGGACCCGGCGGUCCCGCCAGACGUGGUAACUGGCGGCGGGGGUUGCGCUCGUUGCGGGACUUAACCCAACACCUCACGGCACGAGCUGACGACAGCCGUGCAGCAUCUGUGCACGCUCCCUCGCGGGUCGGCCCCGUCUCCGCGGCCUACCACGUGCAUGUCAAGCCCAGGUAAGGUUCUUCGCGUUGCGUCGAAUUAAACCACACGCUCCGCUGCUUGUGCGGGCCCCCGUCAAUUCCUUUGAGUUUUAGCCUUGCGGCCGUAGUCCCCAGGCGGCGGACUUAUCGCGUUGGCUGCGGCACCGGGGGGGUCGAUACCCCCGACACCUAGUCCGCAUCGUUUACGGCGUGGACUAC
rnacentral:misc_RNA from 1 species